rnacentral:lncRNA from 1 species
AAGAAGGUACAUGAAGGGAGAAAAAGAAAACAGGAGCCUGGCAAAUUAAGCCCUCUGUACGCCAAGAAGAAGAAGCCAACAACAUAAGAACCAGCAACAGUUGUUGCUCAGUAGUCGGUGCUGGGGAGCUGCUCGUGGGUGCUGGAGAUGAAGAAGAACUCGUAGACGAGCCCGGCGAGGCCGCCGCCGAUGAGCGGACCGGCCCAGUAUACCCAGUGGUUGUUCCAGGACCAGCUCACCAGCGCCGGACCGAAGGACACCGCCGGGUUCAUCGACGCCCCGUCGAAGGCCCCGCCGGCGAGGAUGUUGGCUCCCACGAUGAAACCGAUCGCGAUCGGUGCAAUCGUCCCGAGGCUGCCCUUCUUGGGGUCCAAGGCGGUGGCGUAGACGGUGUAGACGAGGCCGAAGGUCAUGACGAUCUCGAGGACGAGCGCCUCCCAGACGCUGAUGCCGGUGAGGCCGAAGGUGCCGGUGGAGAGGCCGCCGGUGGAGAAGCGGAGGAGGAAGCAGGCAAUAGUGGAGCCGAGGAGCUGCGCUAUCCAGUAGAGAAUUCCUCUGAGAAGAGUGAU